GGCAUGGUGGCGCAGUGGAUAGCGCUGUCCCCUCACGACAAGAGGGUUGUGGGUUUGACUCCAGCCAUGUGCCG